rnacentral:rRNA from 1 species
CAAGUCGAACGCGAAAGUUCCCUUCGGGGAGCGAGUAGAGUGGCGCACGGGUGAGUAACACGUAGGUAAUCUACCUUUGGAUUGGGAAUAACCACCGGAAACGGUGGCUAAUACCGAAUAAUGCAGCGGCACCUAAUGGUGACAGUUGUUAAAGCGGGGGAUCGCAAGACCUCGCGUCUGAAGAGGAGCCUGCGGCAGAUUAGCUAGUUGGUAAGGUAACGGCUUACCAAGGCGAUGAUCUGUAGCCGGCCUGAGAGGGCGGUCGGCCACACUGACACUGACAUACGGGUCAGACUCCUACGGGAGGCAGCAGUCGGGAAUUUUGGGCAAUGGGCGAAAGCCUGACCCAGCAACGCCGCGUGAAGGAUGAAAUCCUUCGGGAUGUAAACUUCGCAAGAACGGGAAGAAUAAGUAAGGGUUAAUAUCUCUUACGAUGACGGUACUGUUUGUAAGCUCCGGCUAACUCCGUGCCAGCAGCCGCGGUAAUACGGGGGGAGCAAGCGUUGUUCGGAUUUACUGGGCGUAGAGGGCGCGUAGGCGGCCACCGCAAGUCAAUUGUGAAAUCUCCGGGCUCAACCCGGAACGGUCAACUGAUACUGCGGGGCUAGAGUGCAGAAGGGGCAACUGGAAUUCUCGGUGUAGCGGUGAAAUGCGUAGAUAUCGAGAGGAACACCUGCGGCGAAGGCGGGUUGCUGGGCUGACACUGACGCUGACAGCGCGAAAGCUAGGGGAGCGAACGGGAUUAGAUACCCCGG